UCUAAAUGAAAGUUGUAGAGUAUGGUCUGACCUUCGCGUGGAUAUAAAGAACGUCGAAAACGGAGCUCGUAUGCGAAAGUUACGCAAUUUAGAAAUUCGACGAGUCAAUUACGCCCCGCGUACUCAGUCGGAUGCAACUUGUCUGACCAAUACUCGAGUGCCACCGGUCGACGUACGCAGUGACGUAAAAGUACGCCCCGUGUAACCGAGUAUGCCCCGCGUACUGAGUACGCCCUGUGUAAUUUGAGAUUACGCCCCGCGUAAUCCCAGACCCUCAGCCUAUAAAUAGAACUCGAAAUCAGCCAUUUUCUCUUAUUCGAACUCUUCCCUCUCUCUAAGUUUUGCCUCGAUUUGUGUGCUAAUCAUAUCCCGAAGCCCCGGUAUUAUUCCCGAGCCUCGAAGCGAGAUCCGAAGCCCCGAGAAUCCCGAAGAGCGUUAUUCCCGAGCCGAAGCCCAGCCCGGGAGGAGCCGGUUUUUGUGAAGGUCUUCCAGAUCUACGGAGAGACGCUACUUCUAUAAGCCGUAGUACUGUCGGAUCAUCUUCUGAUCAAGUGAGUGUGUAGUUAUUUUCUCUCCAACGCAAUAUUAUGAAGUAUUUAAUAUAAAAUACGUGCUACGUGUAUAUAUUUUGUGGUUAUAUGUGUGAAUGUAUAUUCUCUAUGAAAUACGUGUUAUGUGUGUAUGCCUCAUCUGUUAUGUGGAAUAUGUAUUGAUUAAAGCAUGCUAUACAGGUUUUUAAACAGUGUAUAAAAAUGUAUAUUUUUAUCUACUAAUAUGUUGGGUAGAACAUGGGUAAAUAAUUGGUGUGUAAUAAACAGAUGAGAGGCCUCGGUGUUAUUGGUGUUAUUCUAGUCAUUCAGCAGAGUAUGGAUGACGACCACAGACUAUUCUAGACUGUCCUGUGGAACACUAGCAGGCUCAUUACCUGUAGGUGUUGUGAACGACGUGUUCACCGGUGUACUCUAUCCCCCACAUGGUUGCCUUUAGGACACUUAUUGUUGAGGAAGCCCCUCUGCAGUAAUGUCCGUCCCGAUGAAAAUCCUGAAAUAAGUUCCUUAUAAUAGACGUUAUUUUUAGGAACGUAAGGUGAGGAUAACGGGAAUGGGUAAUCGGGUUUAUUGUUGAUUGAUGAAAUUAAAUAUAAUUAUUGUGGGUUUGAAAACCCUAUAUGCUCACCAGGCUCCCAAGCCUGACCCACUCAGUUUAAUUGUAUUACAGGAAGUGGCGCAAGAGCUUAAGAUGGGCGAAUCAUCAAGUCAUUUUUGUUUACAAGUCUGCAUAUGUAUAUAUUUGUUGAAUGACUUGUAAUGUAAUCGUUUAUGCUUUGUGAUCUGUAUCGGAACAUGACAUCCCGACUUUUGAUUAUGAAAUGAAAUCAUAUUUCUAUAUGAAAUGUUUUGAUAAAUAUCUAUCUUAUCAUGUUUUGUUUUUGGGAACAAAUUCCGCAUCUCUUUUAAAAUUAAAAGGAUUUACUCUGAAAAUGUUUAAAAAGCAUAAAUGAAAUCGGUCUUUUCUGGCCGAGAUUUUGGGGAUGUCACAGUUGGUAUCAGAGCAUUAGUUUAAGCGAACUAGGAAUUUGUAGGAUUUCUAGACUUAAACUUAGAAUGCUAAGUGGAGAUUGUGAGAUGUGUGUCUGAUAAAUUUUAGACACGAGCACUAGUUUAUUUUAGGAAGGUUGCCUAAAAUGCUUUUAUGUGCUAAAUGUUAUAUGUUGCCAUAUAUGAUAUUGUUUGUUCGGAUCUACGGUUUGUUGCCAACCGGAUCUGAAGGUUUAUGUGUUUAGGAUUCUAAGCGUAUGUAUACGAUAUUAGAACUAGCAUGUAAUCGUUUGGAGUAAUAAGGUGAAAUUAUUCGGUGUGUAGAUCAAAAAUGGUGAGAACAAGAAGCGGAGUUGGAAAUGCUGAUGAAAACAGGAAUCAACCGCCUGUAAUUCAACAAGUACCUGUCGUAGCUGAUGCACCUGAGCCGAUAACAAUGGCUGGUGUACAAAUGAUGAUUCAAAUGAUGUUGGAUCGUCAGAUGGAAGAAACAAGACGCCUGCUUAGGCAGAAUCGUGAAGAACCGUCAAUUCAAGCGGAAGAGCCCGAGGAGAAUGGAGGGCAGUCUGAAGGAGAAAACUUUAGUGGAAUCAUUGGUCAAGACGAACAACCAGUGGUUAGACGCAAUAACCAGUAUGGAGGAAAUGAUGGUCGUGGGUGCAAGUAUAAGGAUUUCAUGGCAUCCAAACCACCAUGUCUAUCCGGAAGCCCGACGCCGGUGCAAGUUAUGGACUGGGUCUCCGAAAUGGAGACUAUGUUUGAAAGUUGCGAAUGCAGCAACAGGCAGAAGACCGCUCUUGCGAUCCCUCUGCUAAAAUCUGGCGUGUUGAGUUGGUGGAAGCUGUUAGCUGACUCUAUGCCCAAGGGAGAAGCAAGCAAAAUGUCUUGGGAAGACUUUGUGGAACAACUAAAAAUGCAAUACUGCUCCGAGCAGGACCUUCUGGAAAUCAGUAAUGAGUUUCAGAAUUUGAAGAAAGGGAAAUUGAGCGUUACUGAAUACGCUGCAAGUUUCACAGAAAAGAUGAAGUUUAUCCCAUAUUUGGUGCCUACAGAACUCUCUAAGGUCAACAAGUUUGCCCUUGGACUACCAGCGGACUAUGGUCCAAUGGUUAAGCAAGCAACCACAUUGAAAGCCGCCAUCUGGGCUGCUAGAAAUGUUGAGACCCAGAUCAGGGAAAAAGGUCUGGAAAGGUCAGAGGUUGGCGAGAAAAGGAAAAUCGAUGGAUUUUCAGGGUCCAGCAAGAAAAGUAAAUUCUCGAAGUCUAGUUCGAGGGGAAGUGGAGGAAAGGUAGAAGCGAAAUGGUGUGACAAGUGCAAGAAGAAGCAUUAUGGGAAGUGUGGCGGGGAAACCACAUGCUUCAAAUGUGGAAAGCUAGGGCAUUAUGCCAAUGACUGCACCUUCACCAAGAAUGUUUGUUAUGGUUGUGGUGAGGAGGGGCACAUCUCAAGGGAUUGUCCGAAAAAGAAGGAAGCAGCAAGACCCAACAUUCCGCCAAAGCCAAAGGCGAGAGCAUUCCAGAUGACACUGGAAGCUGCUAAAGAUGAAGCUGAUGUCGCUUCAGGUACCUUUCUCGUUAACAAAUUGCCUGCCCAAAUUUUAUUUGAUUCUGGAGCCAACUACUCCUUUAUAUCGCAUGAAUUUGGUAGAAAACUAGCUUUGCCUGUUGAUAGACUAGAUAAUGCUUUAUUAGUCGAAGUUGCUAGUGGCAAGUUUGUACCUGUUAGCCAUCGUAUGAAAAACAUCUUAAUUGAUCUGAAUGGAAAUAAGUUCCACGAGGAAUUAUUGCCUAUCGAACUUAACGGUUUCGACAUCGUUUUGGGAAUGGAUUGGCUUAGCGCCAAUGAUGCCGAAAUUUUAUGCAAGAAGAAAAUAGUGAAAGUGAACCCGCCUGGGAAGGAAUCGUUUAUGGUGUACGGAGAUAAACGCAGAGUAAACUCUGGAAUCAUUUCUCUAAUGAAAGCCAGAAAAUGUUUGACCAAGGGGUGUACAUCAUACUUAGCAUUCGUGAUCGACGCUAAGAAGGAAAAGAAGGUGAUGCAAAAUAUUCCUGUUGUGUGUGAUUAUCCGGAAGUAUUUCCCGAAGAUCUUCCUGGAUUACCGCCCGAUCGACAAGUAGAAUUUCGUAUCGACUUGUUGCCCGGAACAACGCCAAUUGCAAAAGCACCUUAUCGAUUAGCACCGACGGAGAUGAAGGAGCUAAUGAUGCAACUUCAGGAGUUAUUGGACAAAGGUUUCAUUAGACCUAGUUCAUCACCCUGGGGAGCUCCGGUGUUAUUCGUAAAGAAGAAAGAUGGAAGCAUGAGGAUGUGCAUUGAUUACCGAGAGCUGAAUAAGGCAACAAUAAAGAAUAGAUAUCCGUUGCCGAGGAUUGAUGACCUAUUCGAUCAACUACAAGGUUCAAGUUAUUUUUCAAAGAUCGACCUGAGGUCAGGAUAUCAUCAGCUGAAAGUAAGGGAGCAGGAUAUAGAGAAGACCGCAUUCAGAACGCGAUAUGGACACUAUGAGUUCUUGGUUAUGUCGUUUGGACUAACCAAUGCUCCAGCAGCAUUCAUGGAUUUAAUGAACAGAGUUUGUAAUCCGUUCCUUGAUAAAUCUGUGAUAGUGUUCAUAGAUGACAUUCUGAUUUAUUCAAAAAGCCAAGAGGAGCAUGGCAGACACUUGCGAGAAGUGUUAGAAGUCUUGAAGAAGGAGAAGUUGUAUGCGAAGUUCUCCAAAUGUGAUUUCUGGAUUCGUGAAGUCCAAUUCUUGGGUCACGUGGUCAACCAAGAAGGGAUAAUGGUUGAUCCAGCGAAGAUCGAAGCUGUGAUGAAGUGGGAACAACCGAAAAGUCCCACGGAGAUCCGAAGCUUUUUAGGAUUAGCCGGAUAUUACCGAAGGUUUAUCCAAGGCUUUUCUUCGAUCGCUAGUCCAUUAACAGCUUUGACCCACAAAGGAGCUACUUAUGCUUGGAGUGAUAAGCAUAAAGAAGCAUUCGAGAAGCUAAAGAAGAAGCUAUGCGAGGCACCGAUACUUUCUCUACCCGAUGGAGUUGAAGACUUCGCUGUUUAUAGCGAUGCGUCUGGGGUUGGAUUGGGUUGCGUUUUGACCCAAAGGGAUAAGGUGAUCGCAUAUGCGUCUCGACAGCUGAAAGAGCACGAAAAGAACUACCCGACUCAUGAUUUGGAGUUGGCAGCGGUAGUUUUCGCACUGAAAAUAUGGAGGCAUUACCUCUAUGGCACGAAGUGCAAACUUUUCACUGAUCAUAAGAGUCUCCAAUAUCUCUUUAGUCAGAAAGAAUUGAAUAUGAGGCAACGACGCUGGCUGGAAUUACUUAAGGACUACGACUGUGAGAUACUUUACCACCCCGGUAAGGCCAAUAUUGUUGCUGAUGCUCUCAGUCGGAAGGUCAAUCUUGAAAAGAAAAGGCCAAGAGCGUUGAGAAUUGAAGUUGUCUCGACUAUUUUGGAAAGUAUAAAGAAAGCUCAAAGCGAAGCUUCUGAGAAGAAUGACCGAAAGGAGGAACGUUUGGGCAAAACGUUGGUGUUCGGUGUAAACAGUCACGGACUGAAGGUGUUCCAAGAUCGGAUUUGGAUACCUAAGACAGGAGGAGUCAGAGAUCUUCUGAUGGAAGAAGCUCACAAAACCAUGUACUCGAUUCAUCCCGGUAGCACAAAAAUGUAUAGGGACCUGAAACCCUAUUAUUGGUGGCCGACGAUGAAGCUCGACAUUGCGAAGUAUGUGGCCGAGUGUGUGACCUGUGCAAGAGUCAAGGCACAACAUCAGAAACCAUACGGGAGUUUAGAACCAUUACCUGUGCCUAUGGGUAAGUGGGAAGACAUUGCUAUGGAUUUUGUCACUAAACUGCCCAGAACAAAAAGUGGUCACGACAUGAUUUGGGUGGUCGUUGAUCGAUUCACUAAGAGUGCGCAUUUCAUAGCAGCCAAGGAGAAAUGGUCUAUGGAAAAGCUUGCGAAUUCUUACGUGAAGGAAAUUGUGAGGCUUCACGGUGUUCCGUUAACGAUUGUGUCGGAUCGUGAUAGUCGUUUCACCUCACGAUUUUGGAAAAGUCUACAAGAGGAAUUGGGUACCAAGUUGUGUUUAAGUACAGCUUACCAUCCGCAGACUGAUGGUCAGAGUGAAAGAACGAUACAAACACUUGAAGAUAUGCUGAGAGCGUGUACCUUGGAAUUCCUAGGUAAUUGGGAUGAACAUUUACCUUUGGUAGAAUUUUCCUAUAAUAAUAGUUUUCACUCGAGCAUAAAGAUGGCACCUUAUCAAGCAUUGUAUGGACAGAAGUGUCGUACGCCGUCUUGUUGGCUUGAGGCUGGGGAAAAGCAGUUUAUGGGACCGGAGAUAGUCCAUCAAACUGCUGAAAAGUUGAAAAUAAUUAGGGAAAGAAUGUUAGCAGCUCAGGAUCGUCAAAAGAGCUAUGCUGACAAAAAGCGAAGACCGAUGACUUUUGAAGUUGGAGAUUCGGUUUUGCUUAAAGUCUCGCCGUGGAAGGGACUUAUAAGAUUUGGUAAAAGGGGAAAGUUAAGUCCAAGGUUUAUUGGACCGUUUAAAGUUCUUCAGAGGAUUGGGAACCAAGCUUACAAGCUCGAACUACCAGAAGAACUGAAUGGAAUUCAUAACACUUUUCAUGUGUGUUAUUUGAGGAAGUUCACGGGAGAAGUUCCCGACAUAAUUCCACUUUCGGAGUUGAGGAUCGAUGAGAACAAAAGGUUGAUUGAGGAACCGGAGGCAAUCGUUGACCGAAAGACUAAGAAAUUGCGACGUAAGAUGGUUGAGUUAGUGCUUGUCCGAUGGAAACACACGAAUGGGCCGAAUCUCACCUGGGAGACGGAGAGUGACAUGAUGAGUCGCUAUCCGCAUUUGUUUGCUGGUGUGUGAUUCCGGGGACGGAAUCAUUCUAAGGUGGAGAGAAUUGUAACGCCCGUGUUUCUGGGCUUGCCAUUUUUAGCAAUGUAAUAGUCUAGGUUAACCUUUGUAACCCCAAUUUGAAAUAAUAAAAAUGUAUUAUUUGUGAAUUAUGUGAAUUAUGUGAUUUAUGUGUUUAUUUUCUUAAUUAUUAUAAUUUAAUGAAUUAAGAAUAAAAUAAGCGUCAAAAUUAAAGUGUGAGAUAAGCCCGAUAUCUUUGCAUAAAGUUGUAGUGGUUGAAACAAGGAUUCCGGAGAUAUAAGGAAUGCCAAAAUCCGAGUUAUAACGAAGAAGUUAUGACCUGUCGAAGUUUCGCGACAGAACCGGCACGACGUCGAGUGACGUAAAAUAUGAAUUUAAGAUAGAGCGAUAUUUAGCCUUAGCGAUCUAAACGAAAGUCGUAGAUUUCGUUAAACCGAGAGCGUGCAUAAAAGGAACGCCCAAAUCUGACUUCGUAUGAGGAAGUUAUGAUUUUUCUAAGUUUUGACUUAGCAGUAUGCAGCCCAAAUACUCGAUUUGAGAUCGAGCAGUUUUUAGCCGAAACAAUCUAAAUGAGAAUCGAAGAUCUCGUUGUUAGUAGCGAAACGAUGAAAAGUUAGGCGAGAACGGACGUCAGACGAAGAAGUUAUGAAUUUAUAACGAAGUUUUUCUGUCCCGGCCUUCUAAAAAUAAAUAAUAAAAAUAAAAGUCAAAAUUAGCCGACGGAGUCUAAAUGAAAGUUGUAGAGUAUGGUCUGACCUUCGCGUGGAUAUAAAGAACGUCGAAAACGGAGCUCGUAUGCGAAAGUUACGCAAUUUAGAAGUUCGACGAGUCAAUUACGCCCCGCGUAAUUGAGUACGCCCCGCGUACUCAGUCGGAUGCAACUUGUCUGACCAAUACUCGAGUGCCACAGAUCGACGCAUGCAGUGACGUCAAAGUACGCCCCGCGUAACCGAGUACGCCCCGCGUACUGAGUACGCCCUGCGUAAUUUGAGAUUACGCCCCGCGUAAUCCCAGACCCUCAGCCUAUAAAUAGAACUCGAAAUCAGCCAUUUUCUCUUGUUCAAACUCUUCUCUCUCUCUAAGUUUUGCCUCGAUUUGCGUGCCAAUCAUAUCCCGAAGCCCCGGUAUUAUUCCCGAGCCCCGAAGCGAGAUCCGAAGCCCCGAGGAUCCCGAAGAGCGUUAUUCCCGAGCCGAAGCCCUGCCCGCGAGGAGCCGGUUUUUGUGAAGAUCUUCCAGAUCUACGGAGAGACGCUACUUCUAUAAGCCGUAGUGCUGUCGGAUCAUCUUCUGAUCAAGUGAGUGUAUAGUCCCUUUUCAAUACGCAAUAUUAUGAAGUAUUUAAUAUAAAAUACGUGCUACGUGUAUAUAUUUUGUGGUUAUAUGUGUGAAUGUAUAUUCUCUAUGAAAUACGUGUUAUGUGUGUAUGCCUCAUCUGUUAUGUGGAAUAUGUAUUGAUUAAAGCAUGCUAUACAGGUUUUUAAACAAUGUAUAAAAAUGUAUAUUUUUAUCUACUAAUAUGUUGGGUAGAACAUGGGUAGAUAAUUGGUGUGAAAUAAACAGAUGAGAGGCCUCGGUGUUAUUGGUGUUAUUCUAGUCAUUCAGCAGAGUAUGGAUGACGACCACGGACUAUUCUAGACUGUCCUGUGGAACACUAGCAGGCUCAUUACCUGUAGGUGUUGUGAACGACGUGUUCACCGGUGUACUCUAUCCCCCACAUGGUUGCCUUUAGGACACUUAUUGUUGAGGAAGCCCCUCUGCAGUAAUGUCCGUCCCGAUGAAAAUCCUGAAAUAAGUUCCUUAUAAUAGACGUUAUUUUUAGG
rnacentral:lncRNA from 1 species